rnacentral:rRNA from 1 species
GACGAACGCUGGCGGCGUGCUUAACACAUGCAAGUCGAACGGAAAGGCCCUGCUUUUGUGGGGUGCUCGAGUGGCGAACGGGUGAGUAACACGUGAGUAACCUGCCCUUGACUUUGGGAUAACUUCAGGAAACUGGGGCUAAUACCGGAUAGGAGCUCCUGCUGCAUGGUGGGGGUUGGAAAGUUUCGGCGGUUGGGGAUGGACUCGCGGCUUAUCAGCUUGUUGGUGGGGUAGUGGCUUACCAAGGCUUUGACGGGUAGCCGGCCUGUGAGGGUGACCGGCCACAUUGGGACUGAGAUACGGCCCAGACUCCUACGGGAGGCAGCAGUGGGGAAUAUUGCACAAUGGGCGGAAGCCUGAUGCAGCAACGCCGCGUGCGGGAUGGCGGCCUUCGGGUUGUAAACCGCUUUCGCCUGUGACGAAGCGUGAGUGACGGUAAUGGGUAAAGAAGCACCGGCUAACUACGUG